GAACGCUAGCGGCAGGCCUAAUACAUGCAAGUCGAACGGCAACACGGGUAGCAAUACCUGGUGGCGAGUGGCGCACGGGUGCGUAACGCGUAUGCAACCUACCCUUAACUGAGACAUAACCUGGCGAAAGCUGGGCUAAUAUCUCAUGAGGUUUAUGGGAGGCAUCUUCUAUAAAUCAAAGUCUGGAAAGAUGGUUAAGGAUGGGCAUGCGUCCCAUUAGCUAGUUGGUGAGGUAAAGGCUCACCAAGGCGACGAUGGGUAGGGGUUCUGAGAGGAAGGUCCCCCACACUGGUACUGAGACACGGACCAGACUCNUACGGGAGGCAGCAGUAAGGAAUAUUGGGCAAUGGUCGGAANACUGACCCAGCCCAUGCCGCGUGCAGGAANAAGGCCCUAUGGGUUGUAAACUGCUUUAGCCAGGGGCUAAACCUACCGAUGCGUUGGUAGCUGAAGGUACCUGGANAAUAANCAUCGGCUAACUCCGUGCCAGCAGCCGCGGUAAUACGGAGGAUGCGAG
rnacentral:rRNA from 1 species